rnacentral:rRNA from 1 species
GUACGUAGGGGGCGUAGCGUUGUCCGGAAUCAUUGGGGCGUAAAGCGCGUGUAGGCGGUCCGGUAAGUCCGCUGUGAAAGUCGGGGGGCUCAACCCUCGGAUGCCGGUGGAUACUGUCGGGCUUGAGUACGGAAGAGGCGAGUGGAAUUCCUGGUGUAGCGGUGAAAUGCGCAGAUAUCAGGAGGAACACCAAUUGCGAAGGCAGCUCGCUGGGACGUUACUGACGCUGAGACGCGAAAGCGUGGGGAGCAAACAGG